rnacentral:rRNA from 1 species
UUAAGCGACUAAGCGUACACGGUGGAUGCCCUGGCAGUCAGAGGCGAUGAAGGGCGUGCUAAUCUGCGAUAAGCGCCGGUAAGGUGAUAUGAACCGUUAUAACCGGCGAUACCCGAAUGGGGAAACCCAGUGUGAUUCGUCACACUAUCAUUAACUGAAUCCAUAGGUUAAUGAGGCGAACCGGGGGAACUGAAACAUCUAAGUACCCCGAGGAAAAGAAAUCAACCGAGAUUCCCCCAGUAGCGGCGAGCGAACGGGGAGGAGCCCAGAGCCUGAAUCAGCAUGUGUGUUAGUGGAAGCGUCUGGAAAGGUGCGCGAUACAGGGUGACAGCCCCGUACACAAAAGCGCAUGUGCUGUGAGCUCGAUGAGUAGGGCGGGACACGUGGUAUCCUGUCUGAAUAUGGGGGGACCAUCCUCCAAGGCUAAAUACUCCUGACUGACCGAUAGUGAACCAGUACCGUGAGGGAAAGGCGAAAAGAACCCCGGCGAGGGGAGUGAAAAAGAACCUGAAACCGUGUACGUACAAGCAGUGGGAGCACAGGUUUACCUGUGUGACUGCGUACCUUUUGUAUAAUGGGUCAGCGACUUAUAUUCUGUAGCAAGGUUAACCGUAUAGGGGAGCCGGAGGGAAACCGAGUCUUAAUUGGGCGUUAAGUUGCAGGGUAUAGACCCGAAACCCGGUGAUCUAGCCAUGGGCAGGUUGAAGGUUGGGUAACACUAACUGGAGGACCGAACCGACUAAUGUUGAAAAAUUAGCGGAUGACCUGUGGCUGGGGGUGAAAGGCCAAUCAAACCGGGAGAUAGCUGGUUCUCCCCGAAAGCUAUUUAGGUAGCGCCUCGUGAAUUCAUCUCCGGGGGUAGAGCACUGUUUCGGCUAGGGGGCCAUCCCGGCUUACCAACCCGAUGCAAACUGCGAAUACCGGAGAAUGUUAUCACGGGAGACACACGGCGGGUGCUAACGUCCGUCGUGAAGAGGGAAACAACCCAGACCGCCAGCUAAGGUCCCAAAGUCAUGGUUAAGUGGGAAACGAUGUGGGAAGGCCCAGACAGCCAGGAUGUUGGCUUAGAAGCAGCCAUCAUUUAAAGAAAGCGUAAUAGCUCACUGGUCGAGUCGGCCUGCGCGGAAGAUGUAACGGGGCUAAACCAUGCACCGAAGCUGCGGCAGCGAACGUAUCACCCAAGACAACUUUACGGAGUUGACGAUUGACGGAGCGAAGCGACGUCAAAGCGUUCAUUAAAGUCGAGUUGGCUUAGGGAUACGUUCGUUGGGUAGGGGAGCGUUCUGUAAGCCUGUGAAGGUGUGUCGUGAGGCAUGCUGGAGGUAUCAGAAGUGCGAAUGCUGACAUAAGUAACGAUAAAGCGGGUGAAAAGCCCGCUCGCCGGAAGACCAAGGGUUCCUGUCCAACGUUAAUCGGGGCAGGGUGAGUCGACCCCUAAGGCGAGGCCGAAAGGCGUAGUCGAUGGGAAACGGGUUAAUAUUCCCGUACUUGGUGUUACUGCGAAGGGGGGACGGAGAAGGCUAUGUUGGCCGGGCGACGGUUGUCCCGGUUUAAGCGUGUAGGUGUGUGUUCCAGGUAAAUCCGGUUCACUUUAACACUGAGGCGUGACGACGAGGCACUACGGUGCUGAAGCAACAAAUGCCCUGCUUCCAGGAAAAGCCUCUAAGCAUCAGGUAACACGAAAUCGUACCCCAAACCGACACAGGUGGUCAGGUAGAGAAUACCAAGGCGCUUGAGAGAACUCGGGUGAAGGAACUAGGCAAAAUGGUGCCGUAACUUCGGGAGAAGGCACGCUGACACGUAGGUGAAGUGAUUUACUCAUGGAGCUGAAGUCAGUCGAAGAUACCAGCUGGCUGCAACUGUUUAUUAAAAACACAGCACUGUGCAAACACGAAAGUGGACGUAUACGGUGUGACGCCUGCCCGGUGCCGGAAGGUUAAUUGAUGGGGGUCAGCGCAAGCGAAGCUCCCUGAUCGAAGCCCCGGUAAACGGCGGCCGUAACUAUAACGGUCCUAAGGUAGCGAAAUUCCUUGUCGGGUAAGUUCCGACCUGCACGAAUGGCGUAAUGAUGGCCAGGCUGUCUCCACCCGAGACUCAGUGAAAUUGAACUCGCUGUGAAGAUGCAGUGUACCCGCGGCAAGACGGAAAGACCCCGUGAACCUUUACUAUAGCUUGACACUGAACAUUGAGCCUUGAUGUGUAGGAUAGGUGGGAGGCUUUGAAGUGUGGACGCCAGUCUGCAUGGAGCCGACCUUGAAAUACCACCCUUUAAUGUUUGAUGUUCUAACGUGGACCCGUAAUCCGGGUUGCGGACAGUGUCUGGUGGUAGUUUGACUGGGGCGGUCUCCUCCUAAAGAGUAACGGAGGAGCACGAAGGUUGGCUAAUCCUGGUCGGACAUCAGGAGGUUAGUGCAAUGGCAUAAGCCAGCUUGACUGCGAGCGUGACGGCGCGAGCAGGUGCGAAAGCAGGUCAUAGUGAUCCGGUGGUCUGAAUGGAAGGGCCAUCGCUCAACGGAUAAAAGGUACUCCGGGGAUAACAGGCUGAUACCGCCCAAGAGUUCAUAUCGACGGCGGUGUUUGGCACCUCGAUGUCGGCUCAUCACAUCCUGGGGCUGAAGUAGGUCCCAAGGGUAUGGCUGUUCGCCAUUUAAAGUGGUACGCGAGCUGGGUUUAGAACGUCGUGAGACAGUUCGGUCCCUAUCUGCCGUGGGCGCUGGAGAACUGAGGGGGGCUGCUCCUAGUACGAGAGGACCGGAGUGGACGCAUCACUGGUGUUUCGGGUUGUCAUGCCAAUGGCACUGCCCGGUAGCUAAAUGCGGAAGAGAUAAGUGCUGAAAGCAUCUAAGCACGAAACUUGCCCCGAGAUGAGUUCUCCCUGAGACUUAGAGUCUCCUGAAGGAACGUUGAAGACGACGACGUUGAUAGGCCGGGUGUGUAAGCGCAGCGAUGCGUUGAGCUAACCGGUACUAAUGAACCGUGAGGCUUAACCUU